UGAGGAAUAUUGCACAAUGGGCGAAAGCCUGAUGCAGCAACGCCGCGUGAGGGACGAAGGCCUUCGGGUCGUAAACCUCUUUUCUGGGGGACGAGACAGACGGUACCCCAGGAAUAAGUUCCGGCUAACUACGUGCCAGCAGCCGCGGUAAAACGUAGGGGACAAGCGUUAUCCGGAUUUACUGGGCGUAAAGCGCACGUAGGCGGACGGGUAAGUUGGCCGUGAAAGCUCCUGGCUUAACUGGGAGAGGUCGGACAAAACUGCCAGACUUGAGGCUGAGAGAGGAGAGCGGAAUUCCCGGUGUAGUGGUGGAAUGCGUAGAUAUCGGGAGGAACACCAGUGGCGAAGGCGGCUCUUUGGCUCAGAACUGACGCUGAGGUGCGAAAGCGUGGGGAGCGAACGG
rnacentral:rRNA from 1 species